rnacentral:rRNA from 1 species
GACAAACGCUGGCGGCGUGCCUAACACAUGCAAGUCGAGCGAUCGGCUCGGGAGGGGUAACCCACCCGAGUACGGAGCGGCGAACGGGUGAGUAACACGUGGGCAACCUGCCCCAGGCUCUGGAACAACCCCGGGAAACCGGGGCCGAUGCCGGAUAUUCCCGAGCACUCGCAUGGGAGCUCGAGGAAAGGUCAGGCGGCCUGGGAUGGGCCCGCGGCCUAUCAGCUAGUUGGUGGGGUAACGGCCCACCAAGGCGACGACGGGUAGCUGGCGUGAGAGCGUGGCCAGCCACACUGGGACUGAGACACGGCCCAGACUCCUACGGGAAGCAGCAGUGGGGAAUCUUGCACAAUGGGCGAAAGCCUGAUGCAGCGACGCCGCGUGGGGGAUGAAGGCCUUCGGGUUGUAAACCCCUUUCGGCAGGGAAGAAGCCGCAAGGUGACGGUACCUGCAGAAGAAGCCCCGGCCAACUACGUGCCAGCAGCCGCAGUAACAC